rnacentral:rRNA from 1 species
UGAAAUGGUGCUUGAAGGAGGAUUUAGUAGUAAAAAGGAAGCAGCGUGUCCUUUUGAACCCGGCUCUGAGACGCGUACACACCGCCCGUCACUCUCCCCUGUCUAAAUGCAAUAAAAUUAUCUAAUACCAAAGCGCUGACGAGGGGAGGCAAGUCGUAACAUGGUAAGUGUACCGGAAGUGUACUUGGAUUAAAU